AGAAGGUUGAAUCCUUAUGGGUUAAGAUCAGGGGAAGAGCCGACAAGGCAGACAUCCUGGUGGGCGUCUGUUAGAGACCGCCAAACCAGGAUGAAGAGACAGAUGAGGUGUUGUAUGAGCAGCUGGCGGAAGCUGCGCGAUCCCCGGCCCUUGUCCUCAUGGGGGACUUCAACUUUCCUGACAUAUGCUGGGAAUACAAGUUAGCACAGAAGAAGCAGUCUAGGAGGUUUCUGGAAUGUAUGGAGGACAACUUCUUGAUGCAGAUGAUAAGAGAACCUACGAGAGGAGCUGCCCCAUUAGACCUGCUGUUCACAAACAGAGAAGGUCUGGUGGGAGAUGUAGAGGUUGGGGGCUGUCUUGGGCAGAGUGACCACGACAUGGUAGAGUUCUCGAUUCUUGGUGGAGGCAGGAGGGGGAACAGCAGAACUGCUACCUUGGACUUCCGGAGGGCAGACUUGGAAUUGUUCAGGAGACUAGUAGGGAGAGUCCCCUGGGGCUCAGUCUUAGAGAGAAAAGGGGUCCAAGAUGGCUGGUUGCUCUUUAAGAAGGAAGUCUUCAAGGCGCAGGAGCAGGCUGUCCCCCUGAGCCGCAAAAUGAGCCGACGCGGAUGAAUAGGGAACUAUUCUUGAGGCUCCAGGAGAAAAAGAGAAUCCACCUCCUGUGGAAGAAGGGACGGGCAACCCGGAAAGAAUACCAAGAAGUUGUUAAGAUGUGCAGGGAGAAAAUCAGAAAGGCUAAAGCCCAGCUUGAACUCAACCUGGCUGCUGGGGUAAAAGGGAACAAGAAACUCUUCUACAAGUUUAUCAACAGCAAGAGGAGGACCAGGGAGAAUCUCCAUUCUCUACUGGAUGAGGCUGGCAAUGUGACCACUGAGGAUAAGGAAAAGGCAGAUGUUCUGAAUGCCUUCUUUACAUCUGUCUUUAAAAGACAGACCGGUUAUCCUCAGGUUUCUCCACUCUCUGACCUGGCAGCCUUGGCUGGGGAGCAGACUGAACCCCCCAUAAUUCAGGAGGAAACAGUCAGAGACCUGCUACUCCAACUGGACUGCCACAAGUCCAUGGGACCGGAGGAGAUUCACCCGAGAGUGCUGAGGGAACUGGCGGAGGAGAUAGCCGAGCCGCUUUCCAUCAUCUAUCAGCGCUCCUUGUUGACGGGUGAGGUCCCAGAAGACUGGAGGCUUGCCAAUGUGACUCCCAUCUACAAGAAGGGCUGCAGGGAGGAUCCGGGGAACUACAGGCCUGUUAGCCUGACCUCGGUGUCGGGGCAGAUUAUGGAGCAGAUUCCCUUG
ensembl:lncRNA